rnacentral:tRNA from 1 species
UUGGUAUAGUUUGGUAGAAGUCGAGAAGGGGGUAUUUGGACGCGGCCCUCUCAAGGCUGAAACAGGGGUUCGAUUCCCCUAGGGAGCGCCA